rnacentral:rRNA from 1 species
AUGAACGCUAGCUACAGGCUUAACACAUGCAAGUCGAGGGGCAGCAUUUUAGUUUGCUUGCAAACUGAAGAUGGCGACCGGCGCACGGGUGAGUAACACGUAUCCAACCUACCGAUAACUCCGGAAUAGCCUUUCGAAAGAAAGAUUAAUACCGGAUAGCAUACGAAUAUCGCAUGAUAUUUUUAUUAAAGAAUUUCGGUUAUCGAUGGGGAUGCGUUCCAUUAGUUUGUUGGCGGGGUAACGGCCCACCAAGACUACGAUGGAUAGGGGUUCUGAGAGGAAGGUCCCCCACAUUGGAACUGAGACACGGUCCAAACUCCUACGGGAGGCAGCAGUGAGGAAUAUUGGUCAAUGGGCGAGAGCCUGAACCAGCCAAGUAGCGUGAAGGAUGAAGGCUCUAUGGGUCGUAAACUUCUUUUAUAUGGGAAUAAAGUUUUCCACGUGUGGAAUUUUGUAUGUACCAUAUGAAUAAGGAUCGGCUAACUCCGUGCCAGCAGCCGCGGUAAUACGGAGGAUCCGAGCGUUAUCCGGAUUUAUUGGGUUUAAAGGGAGCGUAGGUGGAUUGUUAAGUCAGUUGUGAAAGUUUGCGGCUCAACCGUAAAAUUGCAGUUGAAACUGGCAGUCUUGAGUACAGUAGAGGUGGGCGGAAUUCGUGGUGUAGCGGUGAAAUGCUUAGAUAUCACGAAGAACUCCGAUUGCGAAGGCAGCUCACUAGACUGUCACUGACACUGAUGCUCGAAAGUGUGGGUAUCAAACAGGAUUAGAUACCCUGGUAGUCCACACAGUAAACGAUGAAUACUCGCUGUUUGCGAUAUACAGUAAGCGGCCAAGCGAAAGCAUUAAGUAUUCCACCUGGGGAGUACGCCGGCAACGGUGAAACUCAAAGGAAUUGACGGGGGCCCGCACAAGCGGAGGAACAUGUGGUUUAAUUCGAUGAUACGCGAGGAACCUUACCCGGGCUUAAAUUGCAACAGAAUAUAUUGGAAACAGUAUAGCCGUAAGGCUGUUGUGAAGGUGCUGCAUGGUUGUCGUCAGCUCGUGCCGUGAGGUGUCGGCUUAAGUGCCAUAACGAGCGCAACCCUUAUCUUUAGUUACUAACAGGUUAUGCUGAGGACUCUAGAGAGACUGCCGUCGUAAGAUGUGAGGAAGGUGGGGAUGACGUCAAAUCAGCACGGCCCUUACGUCCGGGGCUACACACGUGUUACAAUGGGGGGUACAGAAGGCGGCUACCUGGUGACAGGAUGCUAAUCCCAAAAACCUCUCUCAGUUCGGAUCGAAGUCUGCAACCCGACUUCGUGAAGCUGGAUUCGCUAGUAAUCGCGCAUCAGCCAUGGCGCGGUGAAUACGUUCCCGGGCCUUGUACACACCGCCCGUCAAGCCAUGAAAGCCGGGGGUACCUGAAGUACGUAACCGCAAGGAGCGUCCUAGGGUAAAACUGGUAAUUGGGGCU